AGCGACCCUUCUGUAAAUAUAAUACUCUGUGCAUAAAUACCAUGUCACAGUAAGCACAUCAUUGCAAGUGAUCAGAGCUUGACGCAAAAUAUAAGAAAAAAGAAGAUAAUUUUAUUAAUUUAUUCUGUUUCAUCUUGGUUUCAGUUGCAGAGGAUAAGUAAAACGAAAAAUGUGGUUUUGCUUUCUCGCGCUGUUCGCCUCGCCUCGUGAUUGUGUCAUGAUUUCACAUCUAGUACGUCAUCGCUAUUGGAUAUGACAAUUUAUCCGAACGAAUUUAGCCAAUCAGUUCUUUAGCCAUGAAAGUCUUUCACGUUGGGUUGUAUCUGAUGAUUUUUCUUGCAUUUGUCAACAUGGAACGAAACAAGCGCUUAAAAAGAAGAACGAUAAAUUCAUUAUUGGAAAAGACAAAAAAAGAGAAUGUAAAUCGUGUAACUUGUGGAGUAAUACAUGGAGUACCACAUUGGUGUAAAGAGCCUCACAAAAAAUGCUGCCGUAAGUACGAUGGUCGUGGAACUUUAGUAAAUUAUGGGUGUUGUCCAUGGUAUGGUGGAAAAUGUUGUCAUAACGGUAAAUGCUGUCGCCCUGGUUCCACAUGUGUUGGUGAAUCCUUGUGUUGGAAUGGAUUGAAUUCAACAGUAACACAUGCAUAAACGACGUGUUUAAGAUAGAUACUUCUUGUCGCUGCUGACAAAAACAAUUGUUACUCUUUUUUGCGGCUCAUAAUCUCCAUUUCGUAAUCAUAACUGAACAAAUAUAUUAAAAAAAAGUAAAAUCUUUCUUUCAUAAUAUAAUUCCUAUAUCUCGA